rnacentral:rRNA from 1 species
GGUUAAGCGACUAAGCGUACACGGUGGAUGCCCUGGCAGUCAGAGGCGAUGAAGGACGUGCUAAUCUGCGAUAAGCGUCGGUAAGGUGAUAUGAACCGUUAUAACCGGCGAUUUCCGAAUGGGGAAACCCAGUGUGAUUCGUCACACUAUCAUUAACUGAAUCCAUAGGUUAAUGAGGCGAACCGGGGGAACUGAAACAUCUAAGUACCCCGAGGAAAAGAAAUCAACCGAGAUUCCCCCAGUAGCGGCGAGCGAACGGGGAGCAGCCCAGAGCCUGAAUCAGUGUGUGUGUUAGUGGAAGCGUCUGGAAAGGCGCGCGAUACAGGGUGACAGCCCCGUACACAAAAAUGCACAUGCUGUGAGCUCGAUGAGUAGGGCGGGACACGUGGUAUCCUGUCUGAAUAUGGGGGGACCAUCCUCCAAGGCUAAAUACUCCUGACUGACCGAUAGUGAACCAGUACCGUGAGGGAAAGGCGAAAAGAACCCCGGCGAGGGGAGUGAAAAAGAACCUGAAACCGUGUACGUACAAGCAGUGGGAGCACGCUUAGGCGUGUGACUGCGUACCUUUUGUAUAAUGGGUCAGCGACUUAUAUUCUGUAGCAAGGUUAACCGAAUAGGGGAGCCGAAGGGAAACCGAGUCUUAACUGGGCGUUAAGUUGCAGGGUAUAGACCCGAAACCCGGUGAUCUAGCCAUGGGCAGGUUGAAGGUUGGGUAACACUAACUGGAGGACCGAACCGACUAAUGUUGAAAAAUUAGCGGAUGACUUGUGGCUGGGGGUGAAAGGCCAAUCAAACCGGGAGAUAGCUGGUUCUCCCCGAAAGCUAUUUAGGUAGCGCCUCGUGAAUUCAUCUCCGGGGGUAGAGCACUGUUUCGGCAAGGGGGUCAUCCCGACUUACCAACCCGAUGCAAACUGCGAAUACCGGAGAAUGUUAUCACGGGAGACACACGGCGGGUGCUAACGUCCGUCGUGAAGAGGGAAACAACCCAGACCGCCAGCUAAGGUCCCAAAGUCAUGGUUAAGUGGGAAACGAUGUGGGAAGGCCCAGACAGCCAGGAUGUUGGCUUAGAAGCAGCCAUCAUUUAAAGAAAGCGUAAUAGCUCACUGGUCGAGUCGGCCUGCGCGGAAGAUGUAACGGGGCUAAACCAUGCACCGAAGCUGCGGCAGCGACGCUGAUGCGUUGUUGGGUAGGGGAGCGUUCUGUAAGCCUGUGAAGGUGUGCUGUGAGGCAUGCUGGAGGUAUCAGAAGUGCGAAUGCUGACAUAAGUAACGAUAAAGCGGGUGAAAAGCCCGCUCGCCGGAAGACCAAGGGUUCCUGUCCAACGUUAAUCGGGGCAGGGUGAGUCGACCCCUAAGGCGAGGCCGAAAGGCGUAGUCGAUGGGAAACAGGUUAAUAUUCCUGUACUUGGUGUUACUGCGAAGGGGGGACGGAGAAGGCUAUGUUGGCCGGGCGACGGUUGUCCCGGUUUAAGCGUGUAGGCUGGUUUUCCAGGCAAAUCCGGAAAAUCAAGGCUGAGGCGUGAUGACGAGGCACUACGGUGCUGAAGCAACAAAUGCCCUGCUUCCAGGAAAAGCCUCUAAGCAUCAGGUAACAUCAAAUCGUACCCCAAACCGACACAGGUGGUCAGGUAGAGAAUACCAAGGCGCUUGAGAGAACUCGGGUGAAGGAACUAGGCAAAAUGGUGCCGUAACUUCGGGAGAAGGCACGCUGAUAUGUAGGUGAAGCGACUUGCUCGUGGAGCUGAAAUCAGUCGAAGAUACCAGCUGGCUGCAACUGUUUAUUAAAAACACAGCACUGUGCAAACACGAAAGUGGACGUAUACGGUGUGACGCCUGCCCGGUGCCGGAAGGUUAAUUGAUGGGGUCAGCGCAAGCGAAGCUCUUGAUCGAAGCCCCGGUAAACGGCGGCCGUAACUAUAACGGUCCUAAGGUAGCGAAAUUCCUUGUCGGGUAAGUUCCGACCUGCACGAAUGGCGUAAUGAUGGCCAGGCUGUCUCCACCCGAGACUCAGUGAAAUUGAACUCGCUGUGAAGAUGCAGUGUACCCGCGGCAAGACGGAAAGACCCCGUGAACCUUUACUAUAGCUUGACACUGAACAUUGAGCCUUGAUGUGUAGGAUAGGUGGGAGGCUUUGAAGUGUGGACGCCAGUCUGCAUGGAGCCGGCCUUGAAAUACCACCCUUUAAUGUUU